rnacentral:misc_RNA from 1 species
GAUGAAGAACGUAGCGAAAUGCGAUAAGUAGUGUGAAUUGCAGAUUUCAGUGAAUCAUCGAAUCUUUGAACGCACAUUGCGCCCCUUGGUAUUCCAUGGGGCAUGCCUGUUCGAGCGUCAUUUGUACCUUCAAGCUUUGCUUGGUGUUGGGUGUUUGUCCCGAGGGACUCGCCUUAAAGUAAUUGGCAGCCAGUGUUUGGUUUUGAAGCGCAGCACAAGUCGCGAUUCAAGGCUACACGCCCGCUUCCACAAGCCUUUUUUCACUUUUGACCUCGGAUCAGGUAGGGAUACCCGCUGAACUUAAGCAUAUCAAUAAGCGGAGGA